CGAAGCCGAGUGGGGUAAUUUUGGACAAUGGGCGAAAGCCUGAUCCACGCCACUUCCGCGUGCAGGAUGGAACGGCCCGUUCGGGUUGUAAACUGUCUUUUGUACAGAACGAAAAGCUCUGGCUAAUACCUGGAGUCCAUGACGGUACUGUAAGAAUAAGCACCGGCUAACUACGUGCCAGCAGCCGCGGUAAUACGUAGGGUGCAAGCGUUAAUCGGAAUUACUGGGCGUAAAGCGUGCGCAGGCGGUUUUGUAAGACAGAGGUGAAAUCCCCGGGCUCAACCUGGGAACUGCCUUUGUGACUGCAAGGCUGGAGUGCGGCAGAGGGGGAUGGAAUUCCGCGUGUAGCAGUGAAAUGCGUAGAUAUGCGGAGGAACACCGAUGGCGAAGGCAAUCCCCUGGGCCUGCACUGACGCUCAUGCACGAAAG
rnacentral:rRNA from 1 species